UACGGGGGGGGGCAAGCGUUGUUCGGAAUUACUGGGCGUAAAGGGCGCGUAGGCGGUUUGCUAAGUUGGAUGUGAAAACUCUGGGCUUAACCCAGAGCCUGCAUCCAAAACUAGCAGGCUAGAGUUCUGGAGGGGAUAGCGGAAUUCCUGGUGUAGCGGUGAAAUGCGUAGAUAUCAGGAGGAACACCGGUGGCGAAGGCGGCUAUCUGGACAGAAACUGACGCUGAGGCGCGAAAGCUAGGGGAGCAAACAGG
rnacentral:rRNA from 1 species